AGAGGACUUGGCUUUGCUCAGUGUGAAAGAGACAACAAGAGUCCUCCAGAGAAGGGCAACGAAGCUGGUGAAGGGAUUGGAGCAUUAGUCUUACGAGGAACAGCUGCUGGAGCUGGGGGUGUUUAGCCUGGAGAAAAGGUGGAGAAGAGGAGGCUCAAGGGUGGUGUUAUCGCUCUCCCAACUACCUGAAAGAUGCUUCACAGAUGAGUUGAAGUGGAACCA